rnacentral:rRNA from 1 species
GCUAAUGCUGGAGCCGGUAGCGGUGGUAGAGCGAGGGGGUAGGUGUUGAGCGGAAUUAAUGUGGUUAAAGCGCUUAGAGGCGUCUUGGUACGUGCCGUGUGAAAUCCCCAGGCUGAACCUGGGAAGUGCGAGUAAAACGGGCGAGGUUGAAUGCAGGAGAGGGACGCGGAAUUCCCGGUGUAGAGGUGAAAUUCGUAGAUAUCGGGAGGAACACCAGUGGCGAAGGCGGCGACCUGGACGGACAUUGACGCUGAGACGCGAAAGCGUGGGGAGCAAACAGGAUUAGAUACUCUGGUAGUC